rnacentral:rRNA from 1 species
CCUACGGGUGGCAGCAGUGGGGAAUAUUGGACAAUGGGGGCAACCCUGAUCCAGCCAUGCCGCGUGUGUGAAGAAGGCCCUCGGGUUGUAAAGCACUUUCAGUGAGGAAGAACGCCUGGUGGUUAAUACCCAUCAGGAAAGACAUCACUCACAGAAGAAGCACCGGCUAACUCCGUGCCAGCAGCCGCGGUAAUACGGAGGGUGCGAGCGUUAAUCGGAAUUACUGGGCGUAAAGCGCGCGUAGGUGGCUUGAUAAGCCGGUUGUGAAAGCCCCGGGCUCAACCUGGGAACGGCAUCCGGAACUGUCAAGCUAGAGUGCAGGAGAGGAAGGUAGAAUUCCCGGUGUAGCGGUGAAAUGCGUAGAGAUCGGGAGGAAUACCAGUGGCGAAGGCGGCCUUCUGGACUGACACUGACACUGAGGUGCGAAAGUGUGGGUAGCAAACAGGAUUAGAUACCCCUGUAGUC